UCCCGAGCGUUNUCCGGAUUUAUUGGGCGUAAAGGGAGCGCAGGCGGUCAGGAAAGUCUGGAGUAAAAGGCUAUGGCUCAACCAUAGUGUGNUCUGGAAACUGUCUGACUUGAGUGCAGAAGGGGAGAGUGGAAUUCCAUGUGUAGCGGUGAAAUGCGUAGAUAUAUGGAGGAACACCAGNGGCGAAAGCGGCUCUCUGGUCUGUCACUGACGCUGAGGCUCGAAAGCGUGGGUAGCGAACAGGAUUAGAUACCCUGGUAGUCCACACCGUAAACGAUGAGUGCUAGGUGUUAGGCCCUUUCCGGGGCUUAGUGCCGGAGCUAACGCAAUAAGCACUCCGCCUGGGGAGUACGACCGCAAGGUUGAAACUCAAAGGAAUUGACGGGGGCCCGCACAAGCGGUGGAGCAUGUGGUUUAAUUCGAAGCAACGCGAAGAACCUUACCAGGUCUUGACAUCCCGAUGCUAUUCUUAGAGAUAGGAAGUUACUUCGGUACAUCGGAGACAGGUGGUGCAUGGUUGUCGUCAGCUCGUGUCGUGAGAUGUUGGGUUAAGUCCCGCAACGAGCGCAACCCUUAUUGUUAGUUGCCAUCAUUAAGUUGGGCACUCUAGCGAGACUGCCGGUAAUAAACCGGAGGAAGGUGGGGAUGACGUCAAAUCAUCAUGCCCCUUAUGACCUGGGCUACACACGUGCUACAAUGGUCGGUACAACGAGUUGCGAGCCGGUGACGGCAAGCUAAUCUCUGAAAGCCGAUCUCAGUUCGGAUUGGAGGCUGCAACUCGCCUCCAUGAAGUCGGAAUCGCUAGUAAUCGCGAAUCAGCACGCCGCGGUGAAUACGUUCCCGGGCCUUGUACACACCGCCCGUCACACCACGAGAGUUUGUAACACCCGAAGUCGGUGAGGUANCCUUUUAGGG
rnacentral:rRNA from 1 species